ACGAACGCUGGCGGCGUGCUUAACACAUGCAAGUCGAACGGAAAGGCCCUGCUUUUGUGGGGUGCUCGAGUGGCGAACGGGUGAGUAACACGUGAGCAACCUGCCCUUGACUUUGGGAUAACUUCAGGAAACUGGGGCUAAUACCGGAUAGGAGCUCCUGCUGCAUGGUGGGGGUUGGAAAGUUUCGGCGGUUGGGGAUGGACUCGCGGCUUAUCAGCUUGUUGGUGGGGUAGCGGCUUACCAAGGCUUUGACGGGUAGCCGGCCUGAGAGGGUGACCGGCCACAUUGGGACUGAGAUACGGCCCAGACUCCUACGGGAGGCAGCAGUGGGGAAUAUUGCACAAUGGGCGGAAGCCUGAUGCAGCAACGCCGCGUGCGGGAUGACGGCCUUCGGGUUGUAAACCGCUUUCGCCUGUGACGAAGCGUGAGUGACGGUAAUGGGUAAAGAAGCACCGGCUAACUACGUG
rnacentral:rRNA from 1 species